AGAGUUUGAUCAUGGCUCAGAUUGAACGCUGGCGGCAGGCCUAACACAUGCAAGUCGAACGGUAACAGGAAGCAGCUUGCUGCUUUGCUGACGAGUGGCGGACGGGUGAGUAAUGUCUGGGAAACUGCCUGAUGGAGGGGGAUAACUACUGGAAACGGUGGCUAAUACCGCAUAAUGUCGCAAGACCAAAGAGGGGGACCUUCGGGCCUCUUGCCAUCAGAUGUGCCCAGAUGGGAUUAGCUUGUUGGUGAGGUAACGGCUCACCAAGGCGACGAUCCCUAGCUGGUCUGAGAGGAUGACCAGCCACACUGGAACUGAGACACGGUCCAGACUCCUACGGGAGGCAGCAGUGGGGAAUAUUGCACAAUGGGCGCAAGCCUGAUGCAGCCAUGCCGCGUGUAUGAAGAAGGCCUUCGGGUUGUAAAGUACUUUCAGCGGGGAGGAAGGUGUUGUGGUUAAUAACCACAGCAAUUGACGUUACCCGCAGAAGAAGCACCGGCUAACUCCGUGCCAGCAGCCGCGGUAAUACGGAGGGUGCAAGCGUUAAUCGGAAUUACUGGGCGUAAAGCGCACGCAGGCGGUCUGUCAAGUCGGAUGUGAAAUCCCCGGGCUCAACCUGGGAACUGCAUUCGAAACUGGCAGGCUUGAGUCUUGUAGAGGGGGGUAGAAUUCCAGGUGUAGCGGUGAAAUGCGUAGAGAUCUGGAGGAAUACCGGUGGCGAAGGCGGCCCCCUGGACAAAGACUGACGCUCAGGUGCGAAAGCGUGGGGAGCAAACAGGAUUAGAUACCCUGGUAGUCCACGCCGUAAACGAUGUCUACUUGGAGGUUGUGCCCUUGAGGCGUGGCUUCCGGAGCUAACGCGUUAAGUAGACCGCCUGGGGAGUACGGCCGCAAGGUUAAAACUCAAAUGAAUUGACGGGGGCCCGCACAAGCGGUGGAGCAUGUGGUUUAAUUCGAUGCAACGCGAAGAACCUUACCUGGUCUUGACAUCCACGGAAGAAUUCAGAGAUGGAUUUGUGCCUUCGGGAACCGUGAGACAGGUGCUGCAUGGCUGUCGUCAGCUCGUGUUGUGAAAUGUUGGGUUAAGUCCCGCAACGAGCGCAACCCUUAUCCUUUGUUGCCAGCGGUCCGGCCGGGAACUCAAAGGAGACUGCCAGUGAUAAACUGGAGGAAGGUGGGGAUGACGUCAAGUCAUCAUGGCCCUUACGACCAGGGCUACACACGUGCUACAAUGGCGCAUACAAAGAGAAGCGACCUCGCGAGAGCAAGCGGACCUCAUAAAGUGCGUCGUAGUCCGGAUUGGAGUCUGCAACUCGACUCCAUGAAGUCGGAAUCGCUAGUAAUCGUGGAUCAGAAUGCCACGGUGAAUACGUUCCCGGGCCUUGUACACACCGCCCGUCACACCAUGGGAGUGGGUUGCAAAAGAAGUAGGUAGCUUAACCUUCGGGAGGGCGCUUACCACUUUGUGAUUCAUGACUGGGGUGAAGUCGUAACAAGGUAACCGUAGGGGAACCUGCGGUUG
rnacentral:rRNA from 2 species